CAGGGCUUUCGUCUUGUAAUUGGAAUGAUGGUGAUGUACAACCUCACCAGAGUACCAAUUGGAGGGCAAGUCUGGUGCCAGCAGCCGCGGUAAUUCCAGCUCCAAUAGCGUAUAUUAAACUUGUUGCAGUUAAAAAUCUCGUAGUUGUAUUUCAGCCUCGCGUGUUUUCCCUCUUUUUGGGUCUUUUCGCUGGCUUUCUUUUUACUUUGAGAAAAUUAGAGUGUUUCAAGCAGGUUUCGCCUGUAUAAUUGAGCAUGGAAUAACCUUGUAUGACCCUGUCGUACCGUUGGUUGACUUUGGGUAAUGGUUAAUAGGAACGGUUGGGGGCAUUCGUACUCGACUGUCAGAGGUGAAAUUCUUAGAUUUGUCGAUGACGCACGACUGCGAAAGCAUUUGCCAAGGACGCUUCCAUUAAUCAAGAAC
rnacentral:rRNA from 1 species